UCAUCGAUACAAUACAACCUGUUAGUCACUUUACAAACAUGUGAAACAUUGAGAGGUUUAAUAGGAAAAGACGAGCGGUGAUUGAUACCAGGGACAAUCUGGGAUCUACAGCAUCUGCAGUGUUUGUUCAGAAACUCAUCCAGCUCUGUGUCACAUUGAAACAAAUCCAGAGACAGAGAACGGGAAGAGGAACUUGCAAAAUGUCAGAUUAGAGAAGAGGCUCGCAGGCAACACCAUCACCAGAAAUGAUUCCUCAGAAUCAGAAUCAUGUCUAGAGUCGAGAUAAAGGCAAAUUUGAGAUCAGAGGUCAAAGGUCAAGCAGAAACAGGAAGUGCUCACCCUGACGAAGUUGUCUGGAAACAGGCCCCUCCGGCCGUCCACCUCGCCUUCCCACCAGCCCCCCUCAUCCUUCCUGAUGUUGCUGAUGAUGUCACCGAUGGCGAUGGUCAACUCAUCAUCGUGCUGGGCCUGAUAGUCAAACUCCACUACGGCCUCCACUGGGGGGGACAGAGAGAGAUAGAGAAGGGGGGAGAGAGAGACAGAGAAAGAGAG